rnacentral:rRNA from 1 species
GUCCACGCCCUAAACGAUGCAUAUUUGGUGUGGGCAGUUCAUUCUGUCCGUGCCGGAGCUAACGCGUUAAAUAUGCCGCCUGGGGAGUACAGUCGCAAGGCUGAAACUCAAAGGAAUUGACGGGGGCCCCGCACAAGCGGUGGAGCAUGUGGUUCAAUUCGACGCAACGCGAAGAACCUUACCUGGGCUCGAACGGCUGGUCAACGGCGGUGGAAACAUCGCUACUCCGCAAGGGGGUCCAGUCGAGGUGCUGCAUGGCUGUCGU